rnacentral:rRNA from 1 species
UACGGGGGGGGUAAGCGUUGUUCGGAAUUACUGGGCGUAAAGGGCUCGUAGGCGGCCAACUAAGUCAGACGUGAAAUCCCUCAGCUUAACUGGGGAACUGCGUCUGAUACUGGAUGGCUUGGAUUUGGGAGAGGGAUGCGGAAUUCCAGGUGUAGCGGUGAAAUGCGUAGAGAUGUGGAGGAACACCGAUGGCGAAGGCAGCUCUCUGGGUCCCUACCGACGCUGGGGUGCGAAAGCAUGGGGAGCGAACAGG